rnacentral:rRNA from 1 species
UAGGGGAUCUUCCACAAUGGGCGAAAGCCUGAUGGAGCAACGCCGCGUGUGUGAUGAAGGGUUUCGGCUCGUAAACACUGUUGUAAGAGAAGAAUGACAUUGAGAGUAACUGUUCAAUGUGUGACGGUAUCUUACCAGAAAGGAACGGCUAAAUACGUGCCAA